rnacentral:rRNA from 1 species
AACUAACAAGGAUUCCCCUAGUAACGGCGAGUGAAGCGGGAUGAGCUCAAAUUUGAAAGCUGGCACCUUCGGUGUCCGCAUUGUAAUCUCGAGAAGUAGUUUCUGUGUUGGCCCAUGUACAAGUUCCUUGGAAUAGGACAUCAGAGAGGGUGAGAAUCCCGUACUUGACAUGGAUCCCAAUGCUUUGUGAUCUGCUCUCUAUGAGUCGAGUUGUUUGGGAAUGCAGCUCAAAAUGGGUGGUAAAUUCCAUCUAAAGCUAAAUAUUGGGGAGAGACCGAUAGCGAACAAGUACCGUGAGGGAAAGAUGAAAAGCACUUUGGAAAGAGAGUUAAACAGUACGUGAAAUUGUCAAAAGGGAAGCGCUUGAGGUUAGCUAUGCAUGCAGUAUUCAUCCUCUCUUUUGAUUGGUGUAUUUGCUGUUUUGCAGGCCAGCAUCGGUUUUGUCUGCUGGAUAAUAGUAGAAGAAAUGUGGCAUCUUCGGAUGUGUUAUAGUCUCUUACUUGAUACAGUGGAUGGGACCGAGGACCGCAGUGUGCCGUAUGGCGGCUCUUCGGAGACCUUCGCACUUAGGAUGCUGGCGUAAUGGCCUUAAGCGGCCCGUCUUGAAACACGGACCA